UUUUUUUUUUGUACGGAAAACCGAGAAAAUAAUGUUUUUAAGCGUGAAGCAAAAUUGUUAAUUUGCCACAUCCCUAGUGUGUAACACAAGGUCAAGCCAGAUAACAUGUUCAAUGUACCUGCUGUGACACCAGCAGGUAUUUCACCUUUCCUCUAGAAAGACAGGUUCCCACAUCAUCCUAGGCCUCAUGCAAACUAGUCUAGCAUCACGACACACCUGUCCUUUGUCUUUACGAGCUUGUCUAACUGGUUCUACUGGUUCCCCAAAGACAACUAGCAAAAUGGUCAACUUUCAAAACCAAUCUCGUGUGCAUGUGUGUGUGCGUUCGUGUGUGUAAGAGAGAAGGCUCUGAAAACAGAAGUGACAUUAACCCAGAUUAUUUUCAUCUGUCAAUCUUCUGUAAUUGAUUGUAGCUCAAUUUCAUGUUGGUUGGACAGAACCUGCGGUGAUUGACAGGUGCAGUAAAUUGUGACCCGGAGGGUUUGUGUACUUGUUGUGUAUAACUAGUUUGACUCGUACAACCUGUGCUGCCUGCUUUGUCACUUUCAAAUGUCACUCCUCUCUCUUUAGAGGGAGGUAGCGACUAGCUAGGUAGCGUGUUGUGUUCCAGGCUAGAGGGAGGUAGCUACUAGCUAGGUAGCGUGUUGUGUUCCAGGCUAGAGGGAGGUAGCUACUAGCUAGGUAGCGUGUUGUGUUCCAGGCUAGAGGGAGGUAGCUACUAGCUAGGUAGCGUGUUGUGUUCCAGGCUAGAGGGAGGUAGCUACUAGCUAGGUAGCGUGUUGUGUUCCAGGCUAGAGGGAGGUAGCUACUAGCUAGGUAGCGUGUUGUGUUCCAGGCUAGAGGGAGGUAGCUACUAGCUGGGUAGCGUGUUGUGUUCCAGGCUAGAGGGAGGUAGCUACUAGCUAGGUAGCGUGUUGUGUUCCAGGCUAGAGGGAGGUAGCUACUAGCUAGGUAGCGUGUUGUGUUCCAGGCUAGAGGGAGGUAGCUACUAGCUAGGUAGCGUGUUGUGUUCCAGGCUAGAGGGAGGUAGCUACUAGCUAGGUAGCGUGUUGUGUUCCAGGCUAGAGGGAGGUAGCUACUAGCUAGGUAGCGUGUUGUGUUCCAGGCUAGAGGGAGGUAGCUACUAGCUGGGUAGCGUGUUGUGUUCCAGGCUAGAGGGAGGUAGCUACUAGCUAGGUAGCGUGUUGUGUUCCAGGCUAGAGGGAGGUAGCUACUAGCUAGGUAGCGUGUUGUGUUCCAGGCUAGAGGGAGGUAGCUACUAGCUAGGUAGCGUGUUGUGUUCCAGGCUAGAGGGAGGUAGCUACUAGCUAGGUAGCGUGUUGUGUUCCAGGCUAGAGGGAGGUAGCUACUAGCUGGGUAGCGUGUUGUGUUCCAGGCUAGAGGGAGGUAGCUACUAGCUAGGUAGCUGUUAGAUAUGUGUCGUGGAUAUAUGACGCUCACUCUCUCCGCUCACUGCAGGUUCUACAUGUUUACAUGCAGUGUCCUGUCAGUGCUUUCACACCAUUAUAAACCAGGCUUUAAUGUAUCCAGAACGGUCACAGCGUCACACCAACUGCUAGGCUAAACUCCAUGAUCUCAACCUAUUGUUCAGUCACACAUCCCCUCUUCAACACACACUGACCCCCCGAGCCUUAAAACUCCUCCAUUCACCAUCAAUUCUCCUCUCAAAAGCUCCUUGCUCUUUGUCGCUCACAAAAGAGAGAGAAAUCAAUUCUCAAUGACAUUUCUUCUUCCUUCUUUCAGCCCUGCUCCAUUUCUCUCUCCAUCAGGCAACGUAAUUGAUUUGUCUAUUCCUCUGAUACAGAAACAGUGAAGCCUGUCUCUGGCUGAACACGGAGAAUCCACUCCAUCAACUCCUUGGGAGGUCUCUUUCUUUUCUUAUUAUGGAGUCUAUUUCUGUGUUCCGAAUGGCACCCUAUUCCCUAUCUAGUGCACUCCUUUUGACCAGAGCCCUUUGGUAAUGGAGUGCACUACUUUUGACCGGAGCCCUUUGGUAAUGUAGUGCACUACUUUUGACCAGAGCCCAUUGUAGUGUAGCAUGGUAUACCGGUACCAUGGUAAUAUCAGCCUACCAAAACGUCAUAUGAUAGUACCACAUUUUUCAUCCCUACCGAUCUAAAG